rnacentral:rRNA from 1 species
GAUACUUAGUACGGCGAGUGAAGCGGUAAAAGCUCAAAUUUGAAAUCUGGUACUUUCAGUGCCCGAGUUGUAAUUUGUAGAAUUUGUCUUUGAUUAGGUCCUUGUCUAUGUUCCUUGGAACAGGACGUCAUAGAGGGUGAGAAUCCCGUUUGGCGAGGAUACCUUUUCUCUGUAAGACUUUUUCGAAGAGUCGAGUUGUUUGGGAAUGCAGCUCAAAGUGGGUGGUAAAUUCCAUCUAAAGCUAAAUAUUGGCGAGAGACCGAUAGCGAACAAGUACAGUGAUGGAAAGAUGAAAAGAACUUUGAAAAGAGAGUGAAAAAGUACGUGAAAUUGUUGAAAGGGAAGGGCAUUUGAUCAGACAUGGUGUUUUUUGCAUGCACUCGCCUCUCGUGGGCUUGGGCCUCUCAAAAAUUUCACUGGGCCAACAUCAAUUCUGGCAGCAGGAUAAAUCAUUAAGAAUGUAGCUACUUCGGUAGUGUUAUAGCUUUUUGGAAUACUGUUAGCCGGGAUUGAGGACUGCGCUUCGGCAAGGAUGUUGGCAUAAUGGUUAAAUGCCGCCCGUCUUG